AGCUCUGUUUCGUUCCCUGACGGUAACCAAAUCUAGAUGUAGGAAUCUGUUGAGCAGGAGAGGGACACAUGUCUUCCCGAAGGCUGUCAAGGCUGCAAUGGUGAUGAAGAAGACACGAUCAUCACCCCGAGAUCGAUCGUAGCGAAUUGGAAAACUCAUGGUGAAUUUGCUUCCACUCCAAGGCAAUGUCGAGGUAUGAAGGGUGCUUGUACUGCCUUCCAAAGUGAAGAGGAGAUGAACAUGGCUUUGCAUAGCUGUUGUUCUAUGCCAACUUACCUACUCUUGCUGGUACCGUAGUGGCAUAUUGCAAAUUUCGUGGACGAACAACUCUAGUCACUAGUGGCUAGUGAGCAACACUAACAGACCAGAAUGCUUCGCUAUCAACUCCUGGCUUUCCAUCGGCAUGGUGUUCAGCUGCAGCGGCAUCUGGUCCGGGGAGUUCAAGUUGCUGGAUGGCUGCACUGACACAGGAUGGGUUUGCGUUGGCAAUGCGAUACGGCAGUCAUCCCACAUCACGAGCUACAUGUUUAUGUAAUUUAUAUUGUCGCUCGUCCAGCAACGUCAAGGCUCUGCAUGUAAACACAGGAGAACACCAUAAUACUACUCUGGGGAUAAUCAUUUUGGAUAUCAAUUUCGUGACAAUUAUUAGAUUCACACAAUAUUCACAACGUAUGCAACACGAUGCUGUCUAUUGACACUACUUCAAACUGAAGUGCUCACUACUCCUCUCCCGUUUUCAUCUCCCUCUACCUUAUGAAUACUCUGCAUUACUGGUUUCGUCUCUACCCUUUCCAUUGCUGCCAGCGCCCAGUUUUUUUCAAUGCACAGCACCACCUUGACAGUCAUUUUUGUGAUUUGAUGUACACAUACUUUGAAGUUCAAAUUCGAAUUACAUGAUCAGAUUUUUGUUCCACAUUUUCUAUUUAUUUUUACUUCAAGCACAACCCUACCGAUGAAGGGAAAGAAGCAGCAGAGAGACACCUACUGAGUCUAAUGACUGCCACUGUCAGUUCUCAAACAAAAACAAUUUUUGUCGAAUUGAAAAA